rnacentral:rRNA from 1 species
AAGGGCCAUCGCUCAACGGAUAAAAGGUACUCCGGGGAUAACAGGCUGAUACCGCCCAAGAGUUCAUAUCGACGGCGGUGUUUGGCACCUCGAUGUCGGCUCAUCACAUCCUGGGGCUGAAGUAGGUCCCAAGGGUAUGGCUGUUCGCCAUUUAAAGUGGUACGCGAGCUGGGUUUAGAACGUCGUGAGACAGUUCGGUCCCUAUCUGCCGUGGGCGCUGGAGAACUGAGGGGGGCUGCUCCUAGUACGAGAGGACCGGAGUGGACGCAUCACUGGUGUUCGGGUUGUCAUGCCAAUGGCACUGCCCGGUAGCUAAAUGCGGAAGAGAUAAGUGCUGAAAGCAUCUAAGCACGAAACUUGCCCCGAG